rnacentral:rRNA from 1 species
CGAACGCUGGCGGCGCGUUUUAAGCAUGCAAGUCGAACGGUAGGGUAGUGCUUGCACUACCUGAGAGUGGCGAACGGGUGAGUAACGCGUAGAUGAUCUACCCUUCGGUUGGGGAUAGCUCAUGGAAACAUGGGGUAAUACCGAAUAAGAUCCUUAGGCUUUGGCUAUAGGAUGAAAGGGGCUUCGGCCUCGUCGAGGGAUGAGUCUGCGUAUGAUUAGCUAGUUGGUGUGGUAAAGGCGCACCAAGGCGACGAUCAUUAGCCGGCCUGAGAGGGUGACCGGCCACAUUGGGACUGAGACACGGCCCAGACUCCUACGGGAGGCAGCAGCUAAGAAUCUUCCGCAAUGGGCGAAAGCCUGACGGAGCGACGCCGCGUGGAUGAAGAAGGCGGAGACGUUGUAAAAUCCUUUUCCCACAGAAGAAUAAGUUUCAGAGGUAAUGCUGGAGCGAUGACGUUAUGUGGGGAAUAAGCACCGGCCAAUUAC